rnacentral:lncRNA from 1 species
ACCGGGAGACCUGGAUAGAGAUCAGCGGGAAACCUAGAAUAUUUCCGCGGUCAGAAAGGCGGAGGUGAACCGUCGGAGAUCCGGUCAGACCAGCUGAGGAGGAGACCGGAGGAGAGCCUCUGUGUGGAUGAGGAGCGGCUGUGCGCCGCCGGCGUCUGGAGGGUUAACUCCAGCCUUCCUGCCUCAGAGGGGUUCGGGGGGCGAGGAGAUAAAGAUGCCGGGGUCGCUGAGCAAUGAAGAGGAGGGACAGGACGACAUGGAUUAUGAAGAGGAGCUGCCAGAUGAGGACGAUGACGGCGAGCGCAGCGCCGUCCCCCUCACACCCCUCGCCAGCUUCUUCUCUGAUGAAGAUUCCCUCAGAGAACAGAAGAGGAAGAAGCCCAAAAAGAUGAGAGAGGGGAAGCUAUCCUCAGUGAAAAAGAGGAAGAAAGAGGCAGGACUCCACAUCCGACUGGACAGUGACCUGGAGACGUCGGAGGUGGAGGACGAGCGGGAGCGCCCGGACAUCGGCUCAGAGAGUGAGAGCAGCACGUAUGUCACCAUGAAGAAGAAGAAGAAGAAACCCCGGGAGAAGAAAGAGAAAAAGCCCCGGAAGAAGAAGAGGGACGGGGAGGAAGACGAGGACGGCGAUGACGACGGGAACAUGAAAGUAAGUCUGACGCCAGACAGACAUCAGCUCAGACGCAGAGCUGCCAGAAAACCUUCCAACUCUGGAGAAACCUGCACUCCACUUUACCUUUAAUCUGAAAUCUA